UUUUUUUUUUUUUGCUUUUUACGGCCUCACUCGUAGCAUAUGGAAGUUCCCAGCCUAGGGUUUGAAUUCAAGCUACGGCUGCUAGUCUACACCACAGCUAGAGCCAUGCCAGACCUGAGCCACAUCUGUGACCUAGACUACAGCUCAGGGCCAUGCCGGAUCCAGGGUUAGGUAUCUCCGUUUUCAAAAGACUCUGCAAAGUUUUAUUUUCUCUGUGCAGGUGGGGAGACGGAGAGAAACAGCGUGGCGGCAAAAUGUUACCAGCACUGAGUCCAGACAUUCACUGGACUCGCCUUCUCUACUGACCUGAGCUGUUUUCAAAAGAGAACAUUAUAGGGAAAAAAACCUUCCAUAUUGGAAGCACCUUAACUAUCCCCUCUGGGGGGAACCAGGGGCCAGGCCUGACCCCGCAGCUGCCACCUCCCCCCCACCCCACCCCCUGCCACAUAAGGAGGGCUUUGCGGACACAUCCUGGCAGCCCUGGAGGCGGGGGGGGGGCCCACGUGGUGUGGGGUGCGGGGAGCAGCCAGGGACCCUGAGAACCAGUGCAGAUGAGGGCCAGGCAGGCAGCUGCUGGGGGGGGUCCUGGCAGGGCUCCCCCCGGGGCCUGGUCAGCUGGUUCCUUUGCUGCCAGGAGAACAGACAGAACAGUUGGCAUCUUAGCGGCACCCGGACCCAGACACGCCUGCCCAGUCAACUCAAUUAUCUGCACCAGUGAGCUGGGGAAAGAGGCACCAGUGACCCGCUUCACAGACACUUCCUGGGGUCCGACACUCUGCCCCGCAUCUACCAGACAUGGGGGACACGACAGAGCUCGAGGCAACACACAGUGACAAAGCCAAAGACGCCCUCAGACUGUCCCUGGUAAGAAGCCUCCAGCUCCCAGUCCCUGCCCCAUGGCCAGCUCCACGGGACACCUGCCUGCAUGACUGAGAGCUGCCUCCACUGGGACGCACACAGACCACAGCUUGUCCUGAGGGUGACAGUGAGGGGGGCCGGGGGAUCGGACCCGGAUGUCCCGGGUACCAGGCAGGCUUCACGGGCUCACAUGAUCCAGUCACCCUCCCACUGGAUUCCCCAACUGGCCAGACCACAGCCAUUGCUGGGACAGGAGGGCGAGGGGGACGAGUGGAGGAUGGGCAAGCUGAGGAGCCACUGUCGUAGGAGCAAGACUCUAGGGACAGGCCGAGUCUCUAGGGUUAGUGGGCUGCCAGGAACCCGGGGGAGAAGAGGGUUUCAAUCAUGCACGUGCUCAUUCUGCACUCGGGAUUUUACCGGCAAAGUCAAGCUCUGAACCUUGACUCCAAGCCUGGCCCAUUUCAUGGUCCAAAUUCUUACUACGACAUCAUCCGCCUUCAGAUGCUUGAUCACAGCCAGCGAGGAGGAGCUGAAGGAACCAGGGCUGCUUCCAGACGCUGAAAGGCUGUCACCGUGCGGGUCACUAUACUCACUCUGCACCGUUUACUGCUGACCCCCCCAAACUAUAUUCAGGGGUGCACGUGCCAACGGCCAGUCGCCCUUCAGUAUCUUCACCACGACAGGUUAACACAGGAGGAAGCCUGGCAGGGCGUCCCCAGCAACAGAGGGGUCCCAGCCAGAGGGCGCUGGAGGGGACAUUUUAGAGGACCUGCAGUAUCCGAAAAACAAACACAGGCUCCAUGAACCCUACGGUUCUUUCCAAGUUUGAAAGUUUAAUUCUAUAGAAGUUGGCAUUCAUUCUAUUUACUAAUAGUUUUUGUUUUGUUUUGCUUUUGGUGGCCUCGGCAUAUGGAGGUUCCCAGACUAGGGGUCCAAUUGGAGCUAUGGCUGCAACCUACACCACAGCUCAUGGCAAUGCCGGAUCCUUAACCCACUGAGCGAGGCCAGGGAUCGAACCAACAACCUCAUGGUUCCUAGUCAGAGUUGUUGUCACUGCGCCACGAUGGGCACGCCCACAAAUGGAUUUUCAAAUCAGAGGAGGGAUGUAAAGUGGGUCAGUUUUACUGUCCAGAUGGGGAGGGAACUGCACCACUGAAAGUGCCGACCUGCCAGGGGUUCCCAGGAGGAAAUCAGCUCAACCACAGAGUGUUCGUAGCCUCACUGAGUCACCGAGGGAGCCGCUGUCCAAACCAGGCAGAGCUGACGGGCUGGACCCAGGGACCAGCACCUUCCCAGAGCUUCCCAGGGGAGUCCGUUAAGAUGGAGCCCCCGAGACAGAGAAAUAGCUCACGUUCGGUGCCCUCCAAGCCCCGUGCGGACCUGCAGUCAGUUCAUGUCUACAGCUGGGUAAGCUCAUGUCUACACCUGGGCUGGUCGAACGUCUCCACCAUGGUGGCAGUGGUGGGGAGAGUGUUUGUAAGUCACGAAAUCAGAAAAUAGGGAGUUCCUGGUGUGACUCAGCAGUGAACAAACUGACUAGGAUCCAUGAGAGUGUGGGUUUGAUUCCUGGCCUCACUCAGUGGGUGGGGGAUCCGGUGUUGCCCUGGGCUGUGGUGUCGGUCGCAGACACGGCUCGGAUCCC
rnacentral:lncRNA from 1 species